rnacentral:rRNA from 1 species
AUUGAACGCUGGCGGAAUGCUUUACACAUGCAAGUCGAACGGUAGAGGGGGCAACCCCUCGAGAGUGGCGAACGGGUGAGUAAUAUAUCGGAACGUGCCCAGUCGUGGGGGAUAACGUAGCGAAAGUUACGCUAAUACCGCAUACGAUCUAAGGAUGAAAGCGGGGGAUCGCAAGCCCCCGGGGGCUUGAGGGGGCCGAUAUCAGGUUAGGUAGUUGGUGGGGUAAAGGCUCACCAAGCCAACGAUCUGUAGCUGGUCUGAGAGGACGACCAGCCACACUGGAACUGAGACACGGUCCAGACUCCUACGGGAGGCAGCAGUGGGGAAUUUUGGACAAUGGACGCAAGUCUGAUCCAGCCAUUCCGCGUGCAGGAUGAAGGCCCUCGGGUUGUAAACUGCUUUUGUACGGAACGAAAAGGUCUCUCUUAAUACGGGGGACUCAUGACGGUACCGUAAGAAUAAGCACCGGCUAACUACGUGCCAGCAGCCGCCGUAA